ACUGUACCCGAAUAAGAAGGUCCGGCUAACUUCGUGCCAGCAGCCGCGGUAAUACGAAGGGACCUAGCGUAGUUCGGAAUUACUGGGCUUAAAGAGUUCGUAGGUGGUUGAAAAAGUUAGUGGUGAAAUCCCAGAGCUUAACUCUGGAACUGCCAUUAAAACUUUUCAGCUAGAGUAUGAUAGAGGAAAGCAGAAUUUCUAGUGUAGAGGUGAAAUUCGUAGAUAUUAGAAAGAAUACCAAUUGCGAAGGCAGCUUUCUGGAUCAUUACUGACACUGAGGAACGAAAGCAUGGGUAGCGAAGAGGAUUAGAUACCCUCGUAGUCCAUGCCGUAAACGAUGUGUGUUAGACGUUGGAAAUUUAUUUUCAGUGUCGCAGGGAAACCGAUAAACACACCGCCUGGGGAGUACGACCGCAAGGUUAAAACUCAAAUGAAUUGACGGGGACCCGCACAAGUAGUGGAGCAUGUGGUUUAAUUCGAAGAUACGCGCAGAACCUUACCAACACUUGACAUGUUCGUCGCGACUCUAAGAGAUUAGAGUUUUCGGUUCGGCCGGACGAAACACAGGUGCUGCAUGGCUGUCGUCAGCUCGUGUCGUGAGAUGUUGGGUUAAGUCCCGCAACGAGCGCAACCCUCACUUUUAGUUGCCAUCAUUAAGUUGGGCACUCUGAAAGAACUGCCAGUGAUAAGCUGGAGGAAGGUGGGGAUGACGUCAAGUCCUCAUGGCCCUUACGUGUUGGGCUACACACGUGCUACAAUGGCAUCUACAACAGGAAGCAAAACGGCAACGUUAAGCAAAUCCCGAAAAGAUGCCUCAGUUCGGAUUGCACUCUGCAACUCGAGUGCAUGAAGCUGGAAUUACUAGUAAUCGUGGAUCAGCGUGCCACGGUGAAUGCGUUCCCGGGUCUUGUACACACCGCCCGUCACACCAUGGGAGUUGGUUCUACCUUAAGGCAAGGUUUUAAACCCUUGACCACGGUAUAGUCAGCGACUGGGGUGAAGUCGUAACAAGGUAGCCGUAGGGGAACCUGCGGCUG
rnacentral:rRNA from 1 species